rnacentral:rRNA from 1 species
CCUACGGGUGGCAGCAGUAGGGAAUCUUGCGCAAUGGGCGCAAGCCUGACGCAGCAACGCCGCGUGAUCGAGACGCCCUUCGGGGUGGAAAGGUCUGUCAGUGGGGACGAAACUUGACGGUACCCACAGCGGAAGCACCGGCUAACUCCGUGCCAGCAGCCGCGGUCAUACGGGGGGCGCAAGCGUUGUCCGGAAGCAUUGGGCGUAAAGAGUUCGUAGGCGGCACGUACAGUCAGGUGUUAAAGGCAGAGGCUCAACCGUAGAAUUGCAGUUGAAACUGGCAGGCUUGAGUACAGUAGAGGUGGGCGGAAUUCGAUGUGUAGCGGUGAAAUGCUUAGAGAUCACGAAGAACACCGAUGGCGAAGGCGGUUCACUGGACUGCAACUGACACUGAGGCUCGAAAGUGUGGGUAGCAAACAGGAUUAGAUACCCUGGUAGUC